CUGUUCCGGUUCCCAUUCAGCGGUGGCUUAUUUAUCGAGAAGAACAUUGAUCUUUUUGGGCUUCGACGCAGCAAGGGAGGGAGAAAGAGAGAUAGGGUGCGAGGGUUUCCGCGAUCUUCCCUGAGAUGGCGACGAAAAUUAAAUCUGCGGCAGCUGGAGGUUGGUUCGUCAGUCUCUUCCAAGACUUGAGCAACUUGGAGGCUACAAAACUUUCACUAGGUCCCCUUGUGGAUCUUCUUUCUAUUUGGGAACUUCACAGCCAAUGAAUUCGUCCCAUGGAAGCCGAGCUCUCCAUGCAAGUCGAGCCUUAUCUGAAUCCACCAAAGUUGUUUCAAACCGUCCAUUAUCACCACAUCUGCCUCUGAAGAAGCCACAGCUGAGUGCAACAUAUUCAAUUUCGCAUCGUAUAUUUGGAGCUGCUGUGGCAUCCUCUAUCCUGUUAAUUCCUGCUGCUAUGAAGUUUAGCCUUUUGUAUGAUGUAUGAAAGCCAAUUUCUGAAGUUGCUUCUGAGAGAGCUUUUUCAAAAUUUGUUGAAAACAAGUAUCUGGAUCUGUUUGCAGAUGACUGACCCAGAAUAAUGGCAUUUGGACUGGCAUGAGUUACUUGUUUUAUUUGCAAAUAACCAUCCAGAAUAAGUAGGAACCUGCUGCUAAAAAUUUCGUUCUUCUAACUAUGUUGGCAUUGUGGUGGUUAUGUUUUUCA